GUUGCGCCCGAAGCCAUUAGGCCAAGGGCACGUCUGCCUGGGCGUCACGCAUCGCGUCGCCCCCAACCCCCCGUGCACCGUAUGGUCCGGGUGGUAGCUUGGGGCGGAGACUGGUCUCCCGUGCAGUGCGCGGCUGGCCUAAAUGCGAGUCACUCGCGACGGACGCGACAACAAGUGGUGGUUGAUUACCUCAACUGAAGUUCUGUCGUUGCGGCCCCGUCGAAGGAGGAGACUGACCCGACCCUGUAGCACGUGUCGUCACGACGCAUGCAACGACCGCGACCCCAGGUCAGGCGGGACUACCCGCUGAGUUUAAGCAUAUCAAUAAGCGGAGGAAAAGAAACUAACAAGGAUUCCCUUAGUAACGGCGAGCGAACCGGGAACAGCUCAAGCUUAAAAUCAGUCGACUUUGUCGUCUGA
rnacentral:rRNA from 1 species